rnacentral:rRNA from 1 species
GGUUAAGCGACUAAGCGUACACGGUGGAUGCCCUGGCAGUCAGAGGCGAUGAAGGACGUGCUAAUCUGCGAUAAGCGUCGGUAAGGUGAUAUGAACCGUUAUAACCGGCGAUUUCCGAAUGGGGAAACCCAGUGUGAUUCGUCACACUAUCAUUAACUGAAUCCAUAGGUUAAUGAGGCGAACCGGGGGAACUGAAACAUCUAAGUACCCCGAGGAAAAGAAAUCAACCGAGAUUCCCCCAGUAGCGGCGAGCGAACGGGGAGCAGCCCAGAGCCUGAAUCAGUGUGUGUGUUAGUGGAAGCGUCUGGAAAGGCGCGCGAUACAGGGUGACAGCCCCGUACACAAAAAUGCACAUGCUGUGAGCUCGAUGAGUAGGGCGGGACACGUGGUAUCCUGUCUGAAUAUGGGGGGACCAUCCUCCAAGGCUAAAUACUCCUGACUGACCGAUAGUGAACCAGUACCGUGAGGGAAAGGCGAAAAGAACCCCGGCGAGGGGAGUGAAAAAGAACCUGAAACCGUGUACGUACAAGCAGUGGGAGCACAGAGCAAUCUGUGUGACUGCGUACCUUUUGUAUAAUGGGUCAGCGACUUAUAUUCUGUAGCAAGGUUAACCGAAUAGGGGAGCCGAAGGGAAACCGAGUCUUAACUGGGCGUUAAGUUGCAGGGUAUAGACCCGAAACCCGGUGAUCUAGCCAUGGGCAGGUUGAAGGUUGGGUAACACUAACUGGAGGACCGAACCGACUAAUGUUGAAAAAUUAGCGGAUGACUUGUGGCUGGGGGUGAAAGGCCAAUCAAACCGGGAGAUAGCUGGUUCUCCCCGAAAGCUAUUUAGGUAGCGCCUCGUGAAUUCAUCUCCGGGGGUAGAGCACUGUUUCGGCAAGGGGGUCAUCCCGACUUACCAACCCGAUGCAAACUGCGAAUACCGGAGAAUGUUAUCACGGGAGACACACGGCGGGUGCUAACGUCCGUCGUGAAGAGGGAAACAACCCAGACCGCCAGCUAAGGUCCCAAAGUCAUGGUUAAGUGGGAAACGAUGUGGGAAGGCCCAGACAGCCAGGAUGUUGGCUUAGAAGCAGCCAUCAUUUAAAGAAAGCGUAAUAGCUCACUGGUCGAGUCGGCCUGCGCGGAAGAUGUAACGGGGCUAAACCAUGCACCGAAGCUGCGGCAGCGACGCUUAUGCGUUGUUGGGUAGGGGAGCGUUCUGUAAGCCUGCGAAGGUGUGCUGUGAGG